CUUGCUUUGGGUAGAACUCAUAGAGUCUUUGGAAUUGGUUCUGCAAUCAACUUCAAGGGCCCUUCUUCAGCCACUGCUGGAGAAUUGAGUGAAAGUGGAAGAUUUAUGACUUGAUUCUGAAAGAAGAUCAAUGACACUUUUCUCUUUAAAUAAGUAUUGAUUCUGAUAAACUGUUGUCUUUCAUCAAGCAUGAGGCUGGCUCAGAUUACUUUUUUGUUCCCCAGGUAAAUUUAGUUCUCU